rnacentral:rRNA from 1 species
AUGGCUGUGGAGGCGGUUCUUGAAGCGGCAACGAUGAGACCGUCGCCGCCGAGCAAGGAGAUGGAGGCGUCUACUAGUACCAGCGAGGAGGCGUCGGCGUUGUUGGGGCAGGCGGAGGGGUGGUCGAAGCGGAAGCGCUCGAGGCGGCCGCGCGCGCUCGACCCCAGCGAGGAGUACCUCGCGCUCUGCCUCCUCAUGCUGGCGCACGGCCACCGCGACAGCGCCACUGCUGCAGCGCCGGAGCAGCAGCACGGGUGCUCCGUCUGCGGCAAGGUGUUCGCGUCCUACCAGGCGCUCGGCGGCCACAAGGCCAGCCAUCGGAAGCCGACAGCGGCGCCGGCUGGCGCAGCGGACCAGAAACCGCAGGCGGCGGUGGCGGCAGCUUCCUUGUCGGGGUCCGGCGAGGCCGCGGCCGGCGCCGGAGGCGGCAAGGUGCACGAGUGCAACGUGUGCAGGAAGACGUUCCCGACUGGGCAGGCGCUGGGCGGCCACAAGCGGUGCCACUACGACGGCACCAUCGGCAGCGCCGCCGCGGGGCCCACGCACAAGCUGGCUGCCAAGGCGGCCGCGGCCAGCGCGACGGCGGCGAGCCGGGGCUUCGACCUGAACCUGCCGGCGCUGCCGGACAUCCCGGAGCGGCGCGCGGUCACGGAAGAUGGGGAGGAGGUUCUCAGCCCCGUUUCCUUCAAGAAGCCGAGGCUCAUGCUCACGGCGUAA